ACGGGUGAGUAAUGCUUAUCUUACCUACCGUUUAGUGGGGGAUAAAAUACCGCAUGUUCUUGGGCUUCGGCCCAAGGAAAGGGAGUCUUCGGACUUUCGCUAAAUGAGGGGGAUAAGUCGUAUCAGCUUGUUGGUGAGGUAAUGGCUCACCAAGGCAAUGACGCGUAGCCAGGCUGAGAGGCUGAUUGGCCACAAGGAACUGAGACAAGGUCCUACUCCUACGGGAGGCAGCAAUGGGGAAUCGUCGGCGAUGGGGGCAACCCUGACCGCGCAAUACUACGUGAAGGAGGAAGGUCUACGGAUUGUAAACUUCUAUGGGUAGCAAUACCCUGAAAAAGCCACGACUAACUACGUGCCAGCAGUCGCGGUAAGACGUAGGUGGCAAACGUUAUCCGGAAUUAUUGGGCGUAAAGGGUGCGUAGAUGGCAUGAUAAGUUAUUGGUGGUAAAUCGAGGCUCAACCUCGUGGAAGCUGGUAAUACUGUUAUGCUCGAGUGCAGAAGAGGUUAACGGAACUCCCUGUGGAGCGGUAAAAUGUGAAGAUAUAGGGAAGAACACCAAUAACGGCGAAGGCAGUUAACUAUUCUGUUACUGACAUUGAGGCACGAAAGCGUGGGGAGCAAAACGGAUUAGAUACCCGUGUAGUCCACGCCCUAAACGAUGAGUACUAGAUAUUGGGAACUUGAUUCUCAGUGUCGCUAGGUAACCCGGUAAGCACUCCGCCUGGGGAGUACGCUCGCAAGAGUGAAACUUAAAGGAAUUGACGGGGACUCGCACAAGCAGUGGAGCAUGUGGUUUAAUCCGAUACAACGCGUAGAACCUUACCAAGGCUUGACAUGUUCGGCAAAACUGUGGAAACACAGCGGAGGUUAUCCGGACACAGGUGCUGCAUGGCCGUCGUCAGUUCGUGCCGUGAGGUGUAUGGUUAAGUCCUAUAACGAACGCAACCCUUGGGCUUAGUUGCCAGCAUUAAGUUGGGGACUCUAAGCCGACUGCCUGAGUAAUCAGGAGAAGGAAAGGAUGACGUCUGGUCGUC
rnacentral:rRNA from 1 species